AGUGAACGCUGGCGGCGUGCUUAACACAUGCAAGUCGAACGAGAACGGAUUAUAGCUUGCUAUAAUUGUCAGCUAAGUGGCGCACGGGUGAGUAAUGUAUAGGUAAUAUGCCUCUUACUAAGGGAUAACAAAUGGAAACGUUUGCUAAUACCUUAUACUCCUUAUUAACAUAAGUUAAUAAGGGAAAGAUUUAUUGGUAAGAGAUUAGCCUGUAUUGUAUCAGUUAGUUGGUGGGGUAAUGGCUUACCAAGACUAUGACACAUAACUGGUUUGAGAGGAUGAUCAGUCACACUGGAACUGAGACACGGUCCAGACUCCUACGGGAGGCAGCAGUGGGGAAUAUUGCACAAUGGACGAAAGUCUGAUGCAGCAACGCCGCGUGGAGGAUGACACAUUUCGGGUUGUAAACUUCUUUUAUAGGGGAAGCCUGUACGCUAUGCGUAUGGGGACGGUACCCUAAGAAUAAGGACCUGCUAACUACGUGCC
rnacentral:rRNA from 1 species